GACGAACGCUGGCGGCGUGCUUAACACAUGCCAGUCGAACGGAAAGGCCCUGCUUUUGUGGGGUGCUCGAGUGGCGAACGGGUGAGUAACACGUGAGUAACCUGCCCUUGACUUUGGGAUAACUUCAGGAAACUGGGGCUAAUACCGGAUAGGAGCUCCUGCUGCAUGGUGGGGGUUGGAAAGUUUCGGCGGUUGGGGAUGGACUCGCGGCUUAUCAGCUUGUUGGUGGGGUAGUGGCUUACCAAGGCUUUGACGGGUAGCCGGCCUGAGAGGGUGACCGGCCACAUGGGGACUGAGAUAGGGCACAGACUCCUACGGGGGGCAGCAGGGGGGAAUAUUGCACAAUGGGGGGGAGCCUAAGGCAGCAACGCCGCGGGCGGGAUGACGGCCUUCGGGUGGGAAACCGCUUUCGCCUGUGACGAAGCGUGAGGGACGGUAAUGGGUAAAGAAGCACCGGCUAACUACGUG
rnacentral:rRNA from 1 species